UACAGAGGGUGCAAGCGUUGUUCGGAAUUAUUGGGCGUAAAGCGCGUGUAGGCGGCUUUGCAAGUCGGGUGUGAAAGCCCUCAGCUUAACUGAGGAAGGGCGCCCGAAACUGCAGAGCUUGAGUACCGGAGAGGAUGGCGGAAUUCCCCAAGUAGAGGUGAAAUUCGUAGAUAUGGGGAGGAACAUCGGUGGCGAAGGCGGCCAUCUGGACGGAUACUGACGCUGAGACGCGAAAGCGUGGGUAGCAAACAGG
rnacentral:rRNA from 1 species